rnacentral:rRNA from 1 species
UGAAGGGGGGCUCUGGGUCACCUCCAUCCGUGUCUAUCUGUACCCUGUUGCUUCGGCGUGGCUACGGCCCGCCGAAGACUAACAUUUGAACACUGUCUGAAGUUUGCAGUCUGAGUUUUUAGUUAAACAAUAAUUAAAACUUUCAACAACGGAUCUCUUGGUUCCGGCAUCGAUGAAGAACGCAGCGAAAUGCGAUAAUUAAUGUGAAUUGCAGAAUUCAGUGAAUCAUCGAGUCUUUGAACGCACAUUGCGCCCCCUGGUAUUCCGGGGGGCAUGCCUGUCCGAGCGUCAUUGCUGCCCUCAAGCACGGCUUGUGUGUUGGGCUUCCGUCCCUGGUAAAGGGGACGGGCCCAAAAGGCAGUGGCGGCACCAUGUCUGGUCCUCGAGCGUAUGGGGCUUUGUCACCCGCUCCCGUAGGUCCAGCUGGCAGCUAGCCUCGCAACCAAUCUUUUUAACCAGGUUGACCUCGGAUCAGGUAGGGAUACCCGCUGAACUUAAGCAUAUCAAUAGCCGGGAGGAAAA